GCCUCGGUUUUCGGAAUAUUCAAAUCCGUUGGUGGGGUGUCCGGGGCUUGCGCUGGUCACAGGUCCUCCCAGAAGCAGGGGAAUUUAGCCACUCAGUGCGAUCUCCUGUUAUAUUAGUGAUUCAUGCGGGAGGCAAUGACCUUUGCCUCUUAAAAAUCUGUGUAGAGCAAGCUUUGUUUUUGUUGGGUGGGGGUCGUAGCGCCGUGUAGG